CAACAUGCAUUAUCCAUAUAUACUUGUCCUUAACAAGUCUUAUCAUCCUCCUCGCUUUCUCAUCCUUAAAUUUAAGGUGCAGGUAAUGGCAAAGAUGAGUUCAUGUUAUUCGGUUUUCCUUAUGUCGAUCAUCCUAUUAGUCCUGUCCCUUUCAUUUGGACGAGGGAGAUGUGAGAAUUACAACCAACCAGGCAUUUGCAGAGGCAGAUUUGAUUUAUUUACGGAACCAAGAUGUGAAAAUGGCGCCUGCAAAACCUUGUGUUUGAGGAAGAACUUCAGUAGACUCUAUGCUUCAAGAUGUGUGGAUGAUACUAGUUGUGAAUGUACCUUUUUGUGCCCUCGGCAUCACUAGCUAACGAGGCACUACUUGAUUCUACUUCUCUAUUCUCUUCAUUUCAGCAGCUAGAAUAUUCUGUCUACAAAUUUAUUGUAAACGAUAUUGCUAACUAAAAGUUUUUUAGUUUCAAAUUCCAAUCUUUUGCAUG